AACUGACUGAGCCACCCAGGCACCCCCACCACCAUACCACUAAUCCCAGCCAAUCAUCCUGCAUCUAUGUGCAACCGGUGACUGAGGGAUAAAAGUCAACGAAUUUCAUCUGGAAAACAGAGACUGGAAAUCUCUGUCUAUACAGAAGUGAAACUAAAAAGUGUGUUCACGUGAUGUGCCUCAUGUAAUUCACACAGAACUCUAUAAGCCCCAUGGAGCAGACACUCCUACCCUCAUUCUGCAGGAGAAAGGCUGAAUAUUUCUCUUCUGAAUUCCCUUGAUCAGAAUAACUUCUAGUUCCCUAUACAUACAUGACUGAAGACAUGAAGAAGUCUGAUGCUAUAAUUAUCUACUGAUAUUCCAAACACCUAGGUAAUCAUGGGAUGGGAGUGGAAGCCAUGGCACAGCGUGAGAUCCCCCGGAAAAAGAGAGAGUGCACCAAAGUCUCAAGAAGAGAGUGUCUCAAGAAGGUGGGAGUGGCUAACAGCAUUAAAUGCCACCACCAAGAGGUCAGGUAAGAGGAAAACUGGAAAGUAUCCUUUGGAUGUAAAAGUUAUUAGUGUUCAGGG